rnacentral:rRNA from 1 species
AUACGGAGGAUGCGAGCGUUAUCCGGAUUUAUUGGGUUUAAAGGGAGCGUAGGCGGGAGCUUAAGUCAGCGGUUAAAUGGUGCGGCUCAACCGUGCCCUGCCGUUGAAACUGGGUUUCUUGAGAGUGCAAGAGGCGGAUGGAAUUCAUGGGGGAGCGGUGGAAUGCUUAGAUAUCAUGAAGAACUCCGAUUGCGAAGGCAGUCCGCUGGGGCACGUCUGACGCUGAUGCUCGAAGGUGCGGGAAUCAAACAGGAUUAGAUACCCUGGUAGUCCGCACGGUAAACGAUGAUUACCCGCUGUCGGCGGUAGACAGUCGGCGGCCAAGCGAAAGCGAUAAGUAAUCCACCUGGGGAGUACGCCGGCAACGGUGAAACUCAAAGGAAUUGACGGGG